rnacentral:rRNA from 2 species
CUCAACUUGAGAGUUUGAUCCUGGCUCAGAACGAACGCUGGCGGCAGGCUUAACACAUGCAAGUCGAACGCCCCGCAAGGGGAGUGGCAGACGGGUGAGUAACGCGUGGGAACAUACCCUUUCCUGCGGAAUAGCUCCGGGAAACUGGAAUUAAUACCGCAUACGACGGGGAAGGAUUAUACGGGAAGGAUUGGCCCGCGUUGGAUUAGCUAGUUGGUGGGGUAAAGGCCUACCAAGGCGACGAUCCAUAGCUGGUCUGAGAGGAUGAUCAGCCACAUUGGGACUGAGACACGGCCCAAACUCCUACGGGAGGCAGCAGUGGGGAAUAUUGGACAAUGGGCGCAAGCCUGAUCCAGCCAUGCCGCGUGAGUGAUGAAGGCCUUAGGGUUGUAAAGCUCUUUCACCGAUGAAGAUAAUGACGGUAGUCGGAGAAGAAGCCCCGGCUAACUUCGUGCCAGCAGCCGCGGUAAUACGAAGGGGGCUAGCGUUGUUCGGAAUUACUGGGCGUAAAGCGCACGUAGGCGGAUAUUUAAGUCAGGGGUGAAAUCCCGCAGCUCAACUGCGGAACUGCCUUUGAUACUGGGUAUCUUGAGUAUGGAAGAGGUAAGUGGAAUUCCGAGUGUAGAGGUGAAAUUCGUAGAUAUUCGGAGGAACACCAGUGGCGAAGGCGGCUUA